CUAUUAUAAAUUUACAAGCAUGUUUAUAAUAUUUUAAAAUGAAUGAAUUGGCUCUUUGAAAUCACUAUAAUAUUAAUUUUUGUUAGAAAAAAACAAUUUUUUUUUAUCUUCAUCAACUAGGUGUGAGAUCCCUGCAUACUUAAUUUCUUGUCAUGUUUACAAGUUAUAUAAAUAUGUUUUAUUUCUUUCUUGUGUACAGAUUAUGGAGUACCUUCAGUUGCGAGAAGCUUCGGUGGUCCAGACUCACCUUUCCAGAAGUGUGUGUAAGUGCUUUUUGUCACGUAUGCUGACCUCUUUUGGCUAUACACUCCUUCAGAAAUCAUUCUAAUAUGGUAAUUUGGUGCUUACGAAACAUUUCUUAUCAAUGUCGAAAACAAUUGUGCUGAGUAAUAUUUUUGUGGAAAUUGUGACUUUUUUGUUGAAUAGAAAGUUCAAAGAACAGCAUUUUUAAAACAAAUAUUUUGUAAUAUACUCUCUCUUUUGAACAAUUGCUAUAAACAUCAGAAUUAAAUGUAUAAUCAGAUAUAUACAAACCAUCUACUCAAGAACCUACUGCGCUACACUAUCAUGAUUACACUUUUACAGUAAACUACAUUGUUUAUAUACAAUACAGUACAAUGCAAUACAAAAUAUUGUGUUGUCAGUAACACAUACUGAUUGUAAGACUUUCUGUUUCAGCCCAGGGUCUCCCAAAUACACCACGUCCACUCUCAACUCCUUAUCUGAACUACCAGAACGAGCAGGCUUUCGAGCAGAUGGGGAGAGCAGCUCGUCUCACUUUGUGUACCAAACCCCACAGCCCAUCACCCCUGCCCCGGCCCCGGCCCUGUCCCCCACCUCCCCGCGCUCCUUCAACCUGGAGGCUAACGGCAGCUCCUCUUCCUCCUGCCACACUGCUCCUCACCCACUGCCCAGAAAAACUCUGGUGAGAACAGAAAUCAUGAGCAGUGCAUGAACUGGAGAGAUGAAUAUCAUGUUGCUCACACGGUGGUCUUUCAUAGCUAAGGAGUUUUAAUGUUCUCAGUUUCAUUAGCCUUUUUUUGUCCCAGAUGUUUCUUCUGAAGUUCCUAAAGGAGAAAUAAAAAUAUAUCUACUUCACUUGGGUUUUUUUUCUUAGAAGAAAAUCUAAGCAGGAACCUUAAGAAAAAAAUGCCAUUUAAUUUAGAUCAGUCCAAUUUUUUAAUGUUUUUGUCAUGCUCCCCAAGGGUGCAUUUAUAUAUUUUGAUCGAAAAUGCAGUAAAAACAGUAACAUUGUUAAAUAUUAUUGUUUUCUCAGCUAAUUUUUUUCCAGCCAGUACUUCAGUUUUAAGUGUCACAUGAUCCUUUAGAAGUUAUGCUGAUUAUGCAUUCUAUUAUGCUGAUUUGCUGCUCUUCCUACUAUUAUUAUAAUUAUCAAUGUUGAAAACAGUUGUGCUGAUGGAUAUUUUUGUGGAAACGGUGAUACAUUUUUUUUUAGGAUUCUUUGAUGAAUAAAAAAAAAACAGCAUUUAUUUGAAAUAGAAAUCUUUUGUAACACUACAAAAGCCUUUACUGUUACAUUUGAUCAAUUUAAUGCGUUCUUGAUAAAUAAAAGUAUUCUAUUUUAAUCUUACAGGUGU
rnacentral:lncRNA from 1 species